AGUGACCCUCCGCCUCCGUUGUUCCGUUAAAUGUUCCGUUAGAACCGGUGGAAAGAACCGACAGUAAAUUGAAGGUAAUUCCACAAAUGAAGGCAGGAAUCACAGAAAUCCGUCCGCCGUCUGUCGGCAGCUCAAAUCCGGAGAUUACAGCACCGAUUUAUCACCGUCGCUCCGCGUCCGACCCCCGCAUCCCCCGCAUCCCCCGCAUUCACCGCAUCCACACCGGCUGCUCCCGCUGCUGCAGGCCGGCGGACAGGCGCUUCUUCCCGGUAGAGACCCGCAGCUGCUCCCCGGGUCCAAAAACAGCCCAGAAGAUAAUGAAGGAAAGUCGGAUUAUUACCGGGAAUGUCAGGGAUCACCGACACUUCCUGUCUUCACCUUCAAAAUAAAAUACUUACACUGGCAGCGCGUUUCCUCCCGCUGGUGUCAGUUUGAAUCGUACAAUGCCCCAGAUUCCGGUCGCCUUCGUUGACCUCCGCGAGCUUCCCGCCUCCGUCGGAGCGUCAGGUCCGGUCCGGUUCUGCUGUGUCUGCGCUCAGGAGCCCGCGCGGUGCAUGCUGGGAGGGGGAGUAUCUCACACAUAUUAUCUGAUCUGGACCAGGACCCAGAUGUGGACCAGCACCCUGAUCUGAACCAGGACCCAGAUGUGGACCAGCACCCUGAUCUGAACCAGGACCCAGAUGUGGACCAGGACCCAGAUGUGGACCAGGACCCAGAUGUGGACCAGCACCCUGAUGUGGACCAGGACCUGCAGAGAUCCUGUCUGACCACCAGAGGAAUCACUCUGAUUCAAAACCCUGAAACUUUAUGUGAACACAAGCGAACCAGAGCCCGUGUACCGAGAGCCUGGCCUCUCCCCCUAAGGUCCCAUUGUACCGAAUACUGGUUGCAGUUCCAGCAGAGGUCCACUGGGGGCGCUCUCCCAUCAGUGCAGAAUGAAUGGGAGCAGAUGGAGCUGAUUGUGGUUGAGAGAUCUCAGAUGUGAUUGUAGUUUUUAAAGUUCAACAUGGGUUAUAGGUCGAAAGCUGAAUGAACGAGUUCUGAUGUCCUUUAGAUUUCUUACAGGACGAGUUGUUGUUGCCCAUAACGCGCUAGCAUUCUGCUAAUGAACGCUGAUUGGUCAGUGAAGGACUGAUUACGACCAGAGAUCCCGCUCGAGUACACCCAGCAAUGUGUCAUUUCUUUGCAUCCCCUUUCGAAUGCAACAUUCAAAUUACUAGACAAACACUGAUAUCCUGAGAGAAGAGGAUUGUGAGGGUAUAGCUCCAUAGAGCUCCAUUCAUUCUGCACUCAUCCUGUGAGCGCCCUCACAUGGAGCCAGAGGGGAACUGCAACAGUUCAGGAGUUCUCUCAUUGUUAGACGUUCUCUGGUAACGCUUAACAGACCUACAGUGGAUAAUAUGUCAGCAGCUGAUGCUAACGUUAGCUAAAUGGUAGCUACAGCUAUCAAAGUUGAAUAUUGUGUAAACAAACUUGGAUUUUACUUUGUAUGUGUUCAUAAUAACAAUAACAACAACAACAUCAAUAACAACAAUAACAAAAUGACAUUUUUUGACAAUUUUAGACAAAUAAAAGAUGAAAACAAUAUUUAAAAGGACGAUUCGAGAUAAAGUUUAAAAGCUUUAAUGACAUCGCACAUAUUUGACAGAGAGAGAGACAGAGAGAGAGACAGAGAGAGAGAGAGAGAGAGAGAGAGAGAGAGAGAGAGAGAGAGAGAGACAGAGAGAGAGAGAGAGAGAGAGAGAGAGAGAGACAGAGAGAGAGACAGAGAGAGAGACAGAGAGAGAGAGACAGAGAGAGAGACAGAGAGAGAGAGAGACAGAGAGAGAGAGAGACAGAGACAGAGACAGAGAGACAGAGAGAGAGAGAGAGACAGAGAGAGAGAGAGAGAGAGAGAGAGAGAGAGAGAGAGAGAGCUUUAAAGUCUACAGGUGCAGUUUCAUACAUGAGAAAAGCUUUUAUGAUCUAACUUCUGCUUAAAUAUUCGGCCUCAAACAGCUUCUUCUUCUUCAUUCCUAUAGAUGUAGUUCUGAUUGUGCAGUAAGAUGGCGUUAACUUCCAUACAUGUUCAGUACGAUAGAUAUACAGUGACAGAGCAA